UGGGGAAUUUUGGACAAUGGGGGAAACCCUGAUCCAGCCAUCCCGCGUGUGCGAUGAAGGCCUUCGGGUUGUAAAGCACUUUUGGCAGGAAAGAAACGUCGCGGGUUAAUACCCCGCGAAACUGACGGUACCUGCAGAAUAAGCACCGGCUAACUACGUGCCAGCAGCCGCGGUAAUACGUAGGGUGCAAGCGUUAAUCGGAAUUACUGGGCGUAAGGCGUGCGCAGGCGGUUCGGAAAGAAAGAUGUGAAAUCCCAGAGCUUAACUUUGGAACUGCAUUUUUAACUACCGGGCUAGGUGUGUCAGAGGGAGGUGGAAUUCCGCGUGUAGCAGUGAAAUGCGUAGAUAUGCGGAGGAACACCGAUGGCGAAGGCAGCCUCCUGGGAUAACACUGACGCUCAUGCACGAAAGCGUGGGGAGCAAACAGGAUUAGAUACCCUGGUAGUCCACGCCCUAAACGAUGUCAGCUAGCUGUUGGGGCCUUCGGGCCUUGGUAGGCGCAGCUAACGCGUGAAGUUGACCGCCUGGGGGAGUACGGUCGCAAGAUU
rnacentral:rRNA from 1 species